CUUCGGGUCGUAAAACUCUGUCCUCAAGGAAGAUAAUGACGGUACUUGAGGAGGAAGCCCCGGCUAACUACGUGCCAGCAGCCGCGGUAAUACGUAGGGGGCUAGCGUUAUCCGGAUUUACUGGGCGGAAAGGGUGCGUAGGCGGUCUUUCAAGUCAGGAGUGAAAGGCUACGGCUCAACCGUAGUAAGCUCUUGAAACUGGGAGACUUGAGUGCAGGAGAGGAGAGUGGAAUUCCUAGUGUAGCGGUGAAAUGCGUAGAUAUUAGGAGGAACACCAGUUGCGAAGGCGGCUCUCUGGACUGUAACUGACGCUGAGGCACGAAAGCGUGGGGAGCAAACAGGAUUAGAUACCCUGGUAGUCCACGCUGUAAACGAUGAGUACUAGGUGUCGGGGGUUACCCCC
rnacentral:rRNA from 1 species